rnacentral:rRNA from 1 species
AGAGUUUGAUCCGGCUCAGGAUGAGCGCUGGCGGCGUGCUUAACACAUGCAAGUCGAACGAUGACUUCUGUGCUUGCACAGAAUGAUUAGUGGCGAACGGGUGAGUAACACGUGAGUAACCUGCCCUUAACUUCGGGAUAAGCCUAGGAAACCGGGUCUAAUACCGGAUACGACCACCUGGCGCAUGCCAUGGUGGUGGAAAGCUUUAUGCGGUUUUGGAUGGACUCGCGGCCUAUCAGCUUGUUGGUUGGGGUAAUGGCCCACCAAGGCGACGACGGGUAGCCGGCCUGAGAGGGUGACCGGCCACACUGGGACUGAGACACGGCCCAGACUCCUACGGGAGGCAGCAGUGGGGAAUAUUGCACAAUGGGCGGAAGCCUGAUGCAGCGACGCCGCGUGAGGGAUGACGGCCUUCGGGUUGUAAACCUCUUUCAGCAGGGACGAAGCGUAAGUGACGGUACCUGCAGAAGAAGCACCGGCCAACUACGUGCCAGCAGCCGCC